rnacentral:tRNA from 1 species
GCCCACCUAGCUCAGUGGUAGAGCACUUCCUUGGUAAGGAAGAGGUCACGGGUUCAAGUCCCGUGGUGGGCUCCA